UGCUGGUGUUUGGCUCACCCUGUUUUUGUGUGUCACCCCAUAUAACUUGUCAGCAACCUUCACAAGUUCUGGCCUGAAAGUGGUGGUUAUAAAUUGUGUGUUCGCCAUAUCAGCCAGGCGACGAAUGAUGUCUAGCGAAAAAAGUAAUUAAGGAUCACCUCCAAUGGUUACAUCUGAUGAAUAAACAAUAGCUAAAUACAAUACAGGGCACACAUAACCACACACCAACAGCACUUUAGAUUUUCUUUACAGAUUCGACAUUCCUAUUCUCACUGCAUGCAGAUACAAGCCAAGAUCUUGCCAUACAUAUGGACCAACAAUUUCAGAUGAGUAGGAGUUUCAAAAUCUUUAGUUCUGUCUUUUAAAAAGGUGGCAUACCUUUAGUUCUGUCUUUUAAAAAAAUUUCUCCUUUAGUUCCUCCUUUAGUGUAUCUAUCUUGUCAGAAACUCCUAAGAAGAUUAACCAGUCAAAAAAAAUUCCCCUUAUAUUUAAAUAUUAAAAUUGUAUUUGUAGAAACUCAUAGCUCACUUUUGAGUUCCAGUGUUGUGACUUCAGCCAAUGAUUUAGCAUUGUUCAGUUCCUGCCUCUUCAAUUCAUCUUCACCAUGUAACGUGUCAGAGUCAACCGACGAUAUUAUGGCUUCCAACUCUUGCUUCCGUCGUUGCAGGUAAUAAGCUUCUCUUUAAGGGUCUUUUAUUUCAGGGUUGAGUUGGGAUAGUUCACAUUUUUCCUCUGGUGUCAAGUGAACAAUGAGCUCUGUGCCCAUCUCAGCUGGUUUCAUGACCAUACCGGCAUUAAGCUGAUCUAUUUGAUUCCGGACAUCUGCAAGUGAUUUUUCCUAUAAAUUGGGUCCAUUGAAAGAGGAAUAAGAAUACUAACACCAAUAAUGUAAUGGAUGCUAAAGAAAGGAUAAUCUGCCAGUGGUAAGGUAAGGGUGACUUGACAGUCUAAAUGUACCUUAUUUUCAAGAGCCUUGGAAAUGAAUUGUUUCUGCUUAUUAGCAUUAGCUAUGUCGUGCUUAAGCUGUUCCAACUCUUAUUUAUCAUGAGCCCGCUUGGCAUCAAUUUUCUGCUGCUC